CUUCAUUGUCGAAACCCUGACCCCAACCCUAAUAGUAAUCCUAAUUCUCCAUGCAUCAAAAUCCAAUCCUAAUCCAAAUCCAAACCCUAGCGUCAAUCCUCACCCUCCCCACCACCAUCCUGAUCCUUGUAAUUUGAACCCUUAUCAUCUAUGGUUCUUCCCAAUUGAAAAUCCUAACCGAAACCCUAACACAGACUGUAACCCUAACCCUACUCCACCUUCAUCAUCCAAACCCUAACCAUAACCCAAACCCAACGCCUGAAGCCAAGCCCAACUCUAACCCCAAGCCUAAUGCCAACCUUAACCCUAAACCGAAUCCUUGGGCUAAUCCGCUGAUCCCUAGGGCUAACCCAACCACUAAUCCCUAGGGCUAACCCAAACCCUAUCAGCCGAACCUAAUCCUAACCCAGCCAUCUAUGCUAACCAUAAUGAAAAACAACUCAAAAUUCAAAAAUCCGUCAGCCUGUUACCCGAAAAUCCAACUACCCAAAAUUUGAAAUCCCAAAAACUGAGAUCCCAAUAAUCCAUUACUCGAUGGUUGAAUAUCCAACAACUCGAAUCUUUAUAUCUGGAUCUAUAGACCUGCAAUCCCAAAACCCA
rnacentral:lncRNA from 1 species